UACGUAGGGUGCAAGCGUUGUCCGGAAUUAUUGGGCGUAAAGAGCUCGUAGGCGGUCUGUCGCGUCGGCUGUGAAAACUCGGGGCUCAACCCCGAGCCUGCAGUCGAUACGGGCAGACUAGAGUGCUGUAGGGGAGACUGGAAUUCCUGGUGUAGCGGUGAAAUGCGCAGAUAUCAGGAGGAACACCGGUGGCGAAGGCGGGAUCCUGGGCCAGUACUGACGCUGAGGAGCGAAAGCGUGGGGAGCAACAGG
rnacentral:rRNA from 1 species